CUGAGUGUCAUGUGAUCCGACCAUGUGGUAGGCAGGAGGGGUCCAGGUAGGGAACAGCUAAGAGGUAGAGAGGAAACCCCCUCUUCCUUGUGGCUCCUGCACACAGCUCCUGAGAGGCAGACCCAGCAUUUCACAAGUGAGAGCCGGCAGGCCGGAUGCCUGGCUCCAUGGAUGGGUUUGCUCACACUCUCCUAACUGCGCUCUUCUGGACUGAUUUAAGUUUAAUUCCAGCCGGAAUGACUGGAAAUACCAAGUAUUUCACUAGGAUUAGUGACUGGCCAGGAGAGCCAGCUGCCUCGACCACAAGCAGCCCAUGGCCUCCUCAUAACCUGCUUGCCGACUCUGAAAUAAGGAAGAGAAGACCACAACCCGCAAGCCCCUCCCUGUAACUCCAUCAUGGAGGCAGGAUGAAGACAGAGCCAGUCAUGGUUUCAAAACGCAGCACACCGUUGUGACAAGCUCCAGGAUUACUGAGGAACUUCAGUAAAACUUUAGGCUUGUCACACCUGA